ensembl:lncRNA
AUUUUAUUCAUCAGGACUUGAUGCAUCCAAGUAUAGGAUCAUUCGGUUUUGGCACCUUCAAUUUGAACAACACAUUAAAAAUCAAACGAAACAAAGAAAUGACUAAGGCUGUGUGAGUUUUAAAAAUAAAAUACAUACAUACAUACAUAUAUUUAUAUAUUUAUAAAGAAAUCGACCAAACCAUUUAAAAAAGCAGUUUUGUUCCAUGUAGAUUGUUUGGUUCGUCUCACAAAAGCAGUAAUGAACUAAAUAAAUAAAUAAAUAAGAAACAUAAGAAAAAUACACAUGGAAACAUUAAUACUUUAGCGCCUUGGCUUUCCCCCCCCCCUUUAUAAUUAUUAACCUUUAAAACUUAAGUUUCUCAAGAGCAGAUUUGCUGUAAUUUUAUAGCAUGCAUUUAAUUUCUGAAAUUGUGAGUCACUUAGCUUCUCUUGUACUAUUUCAUAUUUAACUUGUUUUUAUUUUUGUGUUUGGCGUCCUCUUCUUUUCCUUGCCCUCUGCUCCUUCCUUUCUUAUUUAGCAGAAGUCGUGUUUGGAGUCUUCGCUUUGUGUGACCUUUAACCCCCUUUUGUUGGCUCUUUCUGUUAAGGGGUUUCGACUCUCGCGUUACGACCCCCCCAUAUAAAAAAAGAAAGUGAACAGGGACCAAGAAAAAGACGAGAAGGUUCUAUUAAAAGAUAUUAUUCUACUGUCUGCGUCUGCCUGUGGUGGCUGCUGUACUGCUGCUACCUGAAGGACCAUCUCUUGUUCUCGACCUUCGAAUGAAAGCAUACUAAAAGAGUCUUUUCUCAUAUUAACAACAGCACUUGGUUUAGUUAACUCGAUUUUUUUUGUGUAUGUGUGUGUUUUUUUUCUCUUUUUUUGCUUCGGUAAAGUCUGUAUCUCUUGAUUAUUAACGUAAUAAUUUAUUUAUAAAAGUAAUACAUAUAUAUAUGUAUACAUAGUACCUUUGUUAGAGAUUACAGAUUGGGGUAAUUCUUACUGAAUCCCAAGCUGUAACAAUUCACAGUUUUAAUGCAAAAAAAAUGAACAAAUCAGUCAGUAAAUAAAAGAGGUGGCAGGCUGGCUGAGGGGGGAGCUUGACCUGUUGCUCCAACCAAACUUGUGGGGCAAUACUGUCAACCAUAAGGGCAAUGAAAUGAUGAAACCAAUUC